AUUGAACGCUGGCGGCAGGCCUAACACAUGCAAGUCGAACGAGUGGCGGACGGGAGAGUAAUGUCUGUGAAACUGCCUGAUGGAUGGGGAUAACUACUGGAAACGGUUGCUAAUACCGCCUACCAGCAGCUGUGCCCAGAUGGGAUUAGCUAGUUGGUGGGGUAUCGGCUCACCAAGGCGACGAUCCCUAGCUGGUCUGAGAGGAUGACCAGCCACACUGGAACUGAGACACGGUCCAGACUCCUACGGGAGGCAGCAGUGGGGAAUAUUGGACAAUGGGCGCAAGCCUGAUGCAGCCAUGCCGCGUGUAUGAAGAAGGUCUUCGGGUUGUAAAGUACUUUAAGCGGGGAGGCGUUACCAGCAGAAGAAGCACCGGCUAACUCCGUGCCAGCAGCCGCGGUAAUAC
rnacentral:rRNA from 1 species